GUACUUACCUGACGUAAGGGACACCGUAACCACAAAGACGGUUACACUAAAGCGAGAAUCCUUGACUGAAUAACGACAAGGUUAACCUCUGUAAUUAUCCCUAAUGUGGAUAACCCGGGAGCGUAAUAUUUGAUAUAGAAUAUUGCGUACACGCCGCC
rnacentral:snRNA from 1 species